AUUGAACGCUGGCGGCAGGCCUAACACAUGCAAGUCGAGCGGCCGGCGGGCGGGUGAGUCCUGUCUAGCAGCCUGCCUGAUGGGGGGAGAGACCUACAGGAGGCGGUAGCUACUCCCACAUACACUCAGGUGUACCCCGGUGGGAUUAGCUAGUUGGUGGGGGAAAGGCUCACCUAGGCGACGAUCCCUAGCUGGUCUGAGAGGAUGACCAGUCACACUGGAACUGAGACACGGUCCAGACUCCUACGGGAGGCAGCAGUGGGGAAUAUUGGACAAUGGGCGAAAGCCUGAUGCAGCCAUGCCGCGUGUGUGAAGAAGGCCUUCGGAUUGUAAAGCACUUUCAGCUGGGAGGCGUUACCCGCAGAAUAAGCACCGGCUAACUUCAUGCCAGCAGCCGCGGUAAUUC
rnacentral:rRNA from 1 species